rnacentral:lncRNA from 1 species
AGCAGGAGAUCAGGUUGGGCCGAGUCACGUUCGAAAUGGUGGGAGGUCGAAUUAGACCGAAUCAUGUUCGAAGUGGCGUGAGAUUGGUUGGACCGAGACCUGUGUAUACUUUGUCUACAUUCUUUAAGUAAAUUAAUUAGUUGCGUAUUUCUAACAGCUUGAGUUUUUGAAAUUAAAUAUUAGCACCAACGAUCCAAUAUCGUGCAGAAAAAAAAAAUGAAUUUUAAGUGAGAUCUCAAAUAUCAAUUAUCAAAUAUUUUGCCACAUAUAUUAGAGACUAUUAGGAAAAUAAUGACAACUUCAUAUAACUUAUUUUAACUUUUUAAAAUUU